ACAUGCUGUACUUCGUUUAGCCAGACAGGAGGUUUCGUAGUGCAGAUGACAAGCUAAUUAAACUGAAGGUGUUCUUUCGAAACGAAGUUUAUGUUCAUUCAAUAAUUAAUGCAGAUAUAAAUUAUACUUUAGUAAUGCAAGAUGAUAUGAGGCUGAAGCAAGAAUUACUUUGUUUGUUCGAGAGGAUCACAUGGAUACGAGCACUGUACCAACUAUACGUUUAUGAGAUAUGGUGAUAUGAAAAUUAAACAGAAGAAAUGGAGGACAACGCUAUAACUGUACAGAAUGAGAACAGUAAUGUAUUGUUAAAUGGCCAGCUGCAGUUGCAAGAGGCAAACGGAAAAAUUCUAGACCUUCAAAACUUUUGUAACCAACUUACAAAUGGCCAGGCAAGUAAUCAAUGUACUACCAUACUUAAACACUGUAAAAAAGUGCAUAUUGGUCCAAAAAUCGAAUAUCAUAAUCAUCCGCCGACCACACCCCAUCCAAUUAAAAACGAUAAAACAGAGAAUUCAAUAUUUGUGAAAUGUAAAGAAAGAC
rnacentral:lncRNA from 1 species